GUAAAUUCCACAAAAAUACACCUCUUUUUUCUUCUUCUUUCCCAUACAACUGUGAAAAUUUCUCACAUUUCACUCGUUAUCUCUCUAAAAUUUCAACCAAGAGGAAGAUCAAAUCAAAACGAUUCAUCAUUCAAUUACUCCAAACGAUGAACCAAAAUUUCCAGCUGUUACCUAUGAACGAAGAAUGUUGGUGUAGCUGCAUUUCUGCCUUCGGGUAGAUGUUUGUCCUUCGUAUUGCCAUGUGGUGGAGCUUUUUUGCUCUCCUUUAUAUAGCAUGUCCUUUACUAAUUGAUUGUAUAAUCAAUUUAAAUGUCUUUAUUCAAGUGAGGCGUGGUGUGUAAUGCUUAGGUGGAAGUUACAAAAAGAAUCAGCGGGAUGUGAUCUUAGUAGUCUGUAGGAUGCAAAAUGCACCUAAGAGUUGUACUUGCAGUCAUUGCAAAGGCAAUGUGUGGCGGAAAGGAAUCUAUAAAGUAUUAGUUCUAACUCUCCUAAGUCUAUGGCCAUGAAUCAAAUUGUGAAAAAGACAUUCUAGCAAGUAUAUAAUCUGUAAUUCUGUAUGCAUGUUAAUUAGAACAUUGCCAGGAAUCCGUGAUAAUGUAAAAAUCUUAAUAGGUA